rnacentral:lncRNA from 1 species
CAGUGUUGAGCUCCUAGUACUUCUAGGUAACGUUUUGUAAAUCUCAACUUAAUAACGAAGUUUUCAAGUUUGAAAUUACAAAUAUAAACAUGAGAUGAUAAAUAGAUGGUCUUCAAGGCCGAAAUACAAGACACUUCUGAUAUUUUCGCCUGAAUUCAAGGGUAUUUCCGUACAAGGUCGUUACCAAUGGCAUCCCGGAGGCUUUGGUGGGACCAGCUCC